UACGUAGGGUGCGAGCGUUGCCCGGAUUUAUUGGGCGUAAAGGGCGCGUAGGCGGUGAGAUGCGUCCGUUGUGAAAUCGCCCGGCUCAACUGGGCGGGGUCAGCGGAUACGGUCUCACUCGAGCAAGCUAGGGGCAAUGGAAUUCCCGGUGUAGUGGUGGAAUGCGUAGAUAUCGGGAGGAACACCAGUGGCGAAGGCGGUUGCCUGGGCUUUGGCUGACGCUGAGGCGCGAAAGCGUGGGGAGCGAGUCGG
rnacentral:rRNA from 1 species